ACCGGAUGCGGAUCUCGAAAGCCUGUCCCAGUUCGGACUGGAGUCCUGCAACCCGACUCCACGAAGUUGGAUUCGCUAGUAAUCGCGCAUCAGCCAUGGCGCGGUGAAUACGUUCCCGGGCCUUGUACACACCGCCCGUCGAGCCAUGGGAGCCGGGGCGCCUGAAGUCCGGGACCGCGAGGACCGGCCUAGGGCGAAACUGGUAACUGGGGCUAAGUCGUAACAAGGUACC
rnacentral:rRNA from 1 species